CCCGCUGAACUUAAGCAUAUCAAUAAGCGGAGGAAAAGAAACUAACAAGGAUUCCCCUAGUAACGGCGAGUGAAGCGGGAACAGCUCAAAUUUGAAAUCUCAGAGGGCACCCUCUGCGAAUUGUAGUUUAGAGAAGCGUUUUCGGGGGCGGCCUGGGUAUAAGUCCUUUGGAACAAGGCAUCAUAGAGGGUGAGAAUCCCGUUUAUGAUCCAGUGUCUGCUUUUAUGUGAUACGCUUUCCAAGAGUCAGGUAGUUUGGGAUUGCUGCCUAAAAUGGGUGGUAAAUACCAUCUAAAGCUAAAUAUUGGCGAGAGACCGAUAGCGAACAAGUACCGUGAGGGAAAGAUGAAAAGAACUUUGAAAAGAGAGUUAAACAGUACGUGAAAUUGCCAAAAGGGAAACGCUUGAAACCAGUAUUGCGUGCAGGCAAUCAGCUGUGUGGCCCGAAAGGUUAAGCACAGUGCACUUGUCUGCACGCAGGUCAACAUCAGUUUGGCUCGGAGUAAAAAGCUGGAGGAAGGUAGCUUUGGCUUCGGUCAAAGUGUUACAGCCUCCAGUCAUGCUCUGGGCUGGACUGAGGUCUGCAGCGUUAUUUGGGUUCCCGGUCGCCUCCUGAACCUUUUCUGUAGACAGCUUGCUGACUGCAGAAAGUCUAGGGAGUCCGGUCGGCUUUCCACACCAACGCUUAGGAUGUUGACGAAAUGGUUUCAAACGACCCGUCUUGAAACACGG
rnacentral:rRNA from 1 species